rnacentral:rRNA from 2 species
UACGUAGGGUGCGAGCGUUGUCCGGAAUUACUGGGCGUAAAGAGCUCGUAGGCGGUUUGUCGCGUCGUCCGUGAAAACUUGGGGCUCAACCUCAAGCUUGCGGGCGAUACGGGCAGACUUGAGUACUGCAGGGGAGACUGGAAUUCCUGGUGUAGCGGUGAAAUGCGCAGAUAUCAGGAGGAACACCGGUGGCGAAGGCGGGUCUCUGGGCAGUAACUGACGCUGAGGAGCGAAAGCGUGGGUAGCAAACAGG